rnacentral:rRNA from 1 species
AACGAACGCUGGCGGCGUGCCUAAUACAUGCAAGUCGAGCGCAGGAAACUGACGGAACUCUUCGGAGGGAAGGCAGUGGAAUGAGCGGCGGACGGGUGAGUAACACGUAAGGAACCUGCCUCAAGGAUUGGGAUAACUCCGAGAAAUCGGAGCUAAUACCGGAUAGUUCAACGGACCGCAUGGUCCGCUGAUGAAAGGCGCUUCGGCGUCACCUUGAGAUGGCCUUGCGGUGCAUUAGCUAGUUGGUGGGGUAACGGCCCACCAAGGCGACGAGGAAUAGCCGACCGUGGAGGGUGAUCGGCCACACUGGGACUGAGACACGGCCCAGACUCCGACGGGAGGCAGCAGUAGGGAAUCUUCCACAAGGGACGAAAGUCUGAUGGAGCAACGCCGCGUGAGUGAUGAAUGUUUUCGGAUCGUAAAACUCUGUUGUAAGGGAAGAACACGUACGAGAGGAAAUGCUCGUACCUUGACGGUACCUUACGAGAAAGCCACGGCUAACUACGUGCCAGCAGCCGCCGUAAAAC